rnacentral:rRNA from 1 species
UACGAAGGGGGCUAGCGUUGCUCGGAAUCACUGGGCGUAAAGGGCGCGUAGGCGGAUCUUUAAGUCAGGGGUGAAAGCCUGAGGCUCAACCUCAGAAUUGCCUUUGAUACUGAAGAUCUUGAGACCGGAAGAGGUAAGUGGAACUGCGAGUGUAGAGGUGAAAUUCGUAGAUAUUCGCAAGAACACCAGUGGCGAAGGCGGCUAUCUGGACAGAGUCUGACGCUGAGGCGCGAAAGCUAGGGGAGCAAACAGG